CUGCGCCGCGUCUCCCUGUCUGAAAUCGGCUUCGGGAAGUUGGAGACCUACGUGAAACUGGACAAACUGGGAGAGGGCACCUACGCCACGGUGUACAG